GUUCAAGGGAGGGGGAAUUGAAGCCAGCCCUCUAUACUGCUAUUUCAGGUUGGUUCAUGAACAGGAAUAGUUAACUCAGUUUGGUCCCCACUGAUUCGGGGCUGUCCUAAUCCGAUUCAUAGUUCGAAUCAGCUUGUGGCUGGGGUUGCCCUAGCUAACGAAGUACAUAUGUGCAAUUAGGGAUGUACAUAGGCUGGUUCGGGCGGAUUUGAUAUAUUUUG
rnacentral:misc_RNA from 1 species